GGAGCUGCUCAGUGGUAGAGCAUCUGCUUGGCACGCCAAAGGUCCCAUGUUCAAUCCCUGGGAUCUCCU
rnacentral:tRNA from 1 species